UACGGAGGGUGCAAACGUUGCUCGGAAUCAUUGGGCGUAAAGCGCACGUAGGCGGCCUGGUAAGUCGGAUGUGAAAUCCCUCGGCUCAACCGAGGACGUGCAUUCGAAACUGCCUGGCUUGAAUAUGGAAGAGGGUCGCGGAAUUCCCGGUGUAGAGGUGAAAUUCGUAGAUAUCGAGAGGAACACCGGUGGCGAAGGCGGCCUUCUGGACAGUGACUGACGCUGAGACGCGAAAGCGUGGGGAGCAAACAGG
rnacentral:rRNA from 1 species